rnacentral:rRNA from 1 species
CCUAGCAAGGCGAGACUGCGGAUGGCUCAUUAAAUCAGUUAUGGUUCCUUAGAUCGUACACAUCCUACUUGGAUAACUGUGGCAAUUCUAGAGCUAAUACAUGCAACACAGCUCCGACCCGAGAGGGGAAGAGCGCUUUUGUUAGCAAAAAGCCAAACGCAGCGUGCCCGUCAAACGGCCGCUGUGAAGCUUGUGAUGACUCCGAACAACUUUGUGCCGAUCGCACGCCCUAGAGGCGGCGACGUGUCUUUCAAGUGUCUGCCCUAUCAACUGUCGAUGGUACGCGCUAUGCCUACCAUGGUGAUAACGGGUAACGGGGAAUCAGGGUUCGAUUCCGGAGAGGGAGCAUGAGAUACGGCUACCACAUCCAAGGACGGCAGCAGGCGCGCAAAUUACCCAAUCCCGACACGGGGAGGUAGUGACGAAAAAUAACAAUACGGGACUCUUUCGAGGCCUCGUAAUUGGAAUGAGUACACUUUAAAUCCUUUAACCAGGAUCAAUU